CCGAGAAGUUUGGGGCUUAGUCUUUGCGGACGGCCCUGACCUCACAACCUGUGCCCGACCCCCUCUGCUGCCUCGGCGGUCGCCCCUCCCGCUUCGGCGGGGGGCCCGCCAGAGGACAAGCCAAAACUCAUCAUGAACGCUUGCCGUCUAGACAUACAAAAUACAAACCAAAAA
rnacentral:misc_RNA from 1 species